rnacentral:rRNA from 1 species
GAUGAACGCUGGCGGCGUGCUUAACACAUGCAAGUCGAACGGUGAAGGCGGAGCUUGCUCUGCUGAAUCAGUGGCGAACGGGUGAGUAACACGUGAGCAAUCUGCCCCUGACUCUGGGAUAAGCGCUGGAAACGGCGUCUAAUACUGGAUACGAGCUGCGAAGGCAUCUUCAGCAGCUGGAAAGAAUUUCGGUCAGGGAUGAGCUCGCGGCCUAUCAGCUUGUUGGUGAGGUAAUGGCUCACCAAGGCGUCGACGGGUAGCCGGCCUGAGAGGGUGACCGGCCACACUGGGACUGAGACACGGCCCAGACUCCUACGGGAGGCAGCAGUGGGGAAUAUUGCACAAUGGGCGAAAGCCUGAUGCAGCAACGCCGCGUGAGGGACGACGGCCUUCGGGUUGUAAACCUCUUUUAGCAGGGAAGAAGCGAAAGUGACGGUACCUGCAGAAAAAGCGCCGGCUAACUACGUG